rnacentral:tRNA from 1 species
GCCCUGAGGGCCUAGCAGUUAAGCACUCGGCUGCCAACCGAAAGAUUGGUGGUUCGAACCCACCUGUCGGCU